GAUCAUGGCUCAGGACGAACGCUGGCGGCGUGCCUAAUACAUGCAAGUAGAACGCUGAAGGAGGAGCUUGCUUCUCCGGAUGAGUUGCGAACGGGUGAGUAACGCGUAGGUAACCUGCCUGGUAGCGGGGGAUAACUAUUGGAAACGAUAGCUAAUACCGCAUAAGAGUAGAUGUUGCAUGACAUUUACUUAAAAGGUGCAAUUGCAUCACUACCAGAUGGACCUGCGUUGUA
rnacentral:rRNA from 1 species